CGCGUAGCCGGGUCGGCAAGUCAGAUGUGAAAUCUAGGGGCUCAACCCCUAAACUGCAUUUGAAACUACUCUUCUUGAGUAUCGGAGAGGCAAUCGGAAUUCCUAGUGUAGCGGUGAAAUGCGUAGAUAUUAGGAGGAACACCAGUGGCGAAGGCGGAUUGCUGGACGACAACUGACGCUGAGGCGCGAAAGCCAGGGAGCAAACG
rnacentral:rRNA from 1 species